GGGUAUUAUGACACGUCCGCUGUGGGGCUCUAUCCAGAAAAUUAAUGGGGAAUUCAAUUCUAUGAAAGUGUGAGUGAUAGGGAUUGUAUUCCCCUCCGUAGCAGGACAACAUCUCUUCAUGGCAUCACCAGUCUCCUAAUCUCAGUUAGCCAGUCUCCAUGCUGCACUUUGCCACCAGUGAUUGACAGGGCUCAUUCCCACAUCCAAGUCGGCAGGAAAUGUAGCUGCCUGCUGCUGCUCUUAAACCUUUGGAUGCCAUCUACCAUAGUGCCCUUCAUUUGUUACCGGCGGCAGCUCCGAUACUCAUCAAUGCAUACUGUAUCAAAAGGUUGACUGAACUUCGCUAAGGACCCGUAGAUCUCUUUGCUGUUGAAGUAUAGACACCUGAGUUGCCUAACCCGUUCACAGGAUUGGUUCUCUUGAGGUUCCUAGGAUCUCCAUCAAGCUAGGUAAAUCUGCUUUUAGUUUUAAUGCACCAUAUUGCUGGAACAAAAUUCAAAAUACAUUUCAUCUUUCUAUUCUGAUUGGGGAUCUAUUUAUUGAUCAAUGUAACUGUUUUUCUGGGUGAUAUGUGAUGCAUUAUUUGUGCUGACCAUGACUGUGCUUUUGUAUUCUUAUAUGUAUAUACACAGUAUAUAUUUUGUGUUUAAUAUGUAUUUUAUAUUGUAUUAUAUAGGGCACAUUUGGAAAAGAGACCUAGGUCUUAAUAUGUCUUCCCUGUCAAAAUAAACGUGAAAUAAAAAUCA